AGAGUUUGAUCCUGGCUCAGAUUGAACGCUGGCGACGUGCUUAACACAUGCAAGUCGUGCGAGAAAGUAGACUUCGGUCUAUGAGUAGAGCGGCGCACGGGUGAGUAACGCGUGGAUGAUCUACCCUUGAGUUCGGGAUAACGGUGCGAAAGCGCCGCUAAUACCGUAUAACAAUCCAUUUCAUCGUGGGUUCAAAGCAGGCCUCUUCAUGAAAGCUUGCGCUUGGGGAUGAGUCCGCGUCCCAUUAGCUUGUUGGCGGGGUAACGGCCCACCAAGGCUACGAUGGGUAGCUGGUCUGAGAGGAUGAUCAGCCACACUGGAACUGAAACACGGUCCAGACUCCUACGGGAGGCAGCAGUGGGGAAUAUUGCGCAAUGGGGGAAACCCUGACGCAGCGACGUCGUGUGAGGGAAGAAGGCCUUCGGGUCGUAAACCUCUGUCAGAAGGGAA
rnacentral:rRNA from 1 species